rnacentral:rRNA from 1 species
AGCGAACGCUGGCGGCAGGCUUAACACAUGCAAGUCGAGGGGAGUGGCAGACGGGUGAGUAACGCGUGGGAACGUACCUUUUGGUUCGGAACAACACAGGGAAACUUGUGCUAAUACCGGAUACCGAAAGAUCGGCCCGUGUCUGAUUAGCUAGUUGGUGAGGUAAUGGCUCACCAAGGCGACGAUCAGUAGCUGGUCUGAGAGGAUGAUCAGCCACAUUGUGACUGGGACACAGCCCAAACUCCUACGCGAGGCGGCAGAGGGGAAUGUUGGACAAUGGGGGCAACCCUGAACCUGCCAUGCCGCGUGAGUGAGGAAGGCCCUAGAGUAGUAAAGCUCUUUUGUGCGGGAAACGGUACCGAAAAAAUAAGCCCCGGCUAACUUCGUGCCAGCAGCCGCGGUAAUAC